GUCAGGAUGAACGCCGGCGGCGUUCUUAACACAUGCAAGUUGAACGAACCUUCGGGUUAGUGGCGGACGGGUGAGUAACGCGUGAGAAUUUGCCCUCAGGAGGGGGAUAACGGCUGGAAACGGCCGCUAAUACCCCAUAUGCCCCGAGGUGAAAUGAAAUUCCCCUGAGGAUGAGCUCGGGUUUGAUUAAUUAGUUGGUGGGGUAAGAGCCUACCAAGGCAUCGAUCCGUAGCUGGUUUGAGAGGAUGAUUAACCACCCUGGGAAUGAGACACGGCCCAGACUUCUACGGGAGGCAGCAGUGGGGAAUUUUCCGCAAUGGGCGAAAGCCUGACGGAGCAACGCCGCGUGAGGGAAGAAGGCCUUUGGGCUGUAAACCUUUUUUAUCAAGGAAGAAGAUUUGACGGUACUUGAUGAAUAAGCCCCGGCUAAUUUCGUGCCC
rnacentral:rRNA from 1 species